GCUAGGUGCGGUGGUGCACACCUGUAAUCCCAGCAGCUCAGGAGGCUGAGGCAGGAGGUUUGGGGUUUCAAAGCGAAACUCAGCAAUUUAACAAAUCCCUAGGCAACUCAGUGAGACCCUGUCUCUA
rnacentral:sRNA from 1 species